GGUGAUUCUCCAUGCCCAUUGCUCAAUAUAAGUGCUUUUUUUUUUCCUUAACAACUGGCUCUGGUGAUGAUCCUUCCAGUUAGUGUUAAGAGGUGCAGGACUGUUUGGUCCUUUUCGAGAUUUAAACUCAUAUGUUGUUUCCUUGUUUCAAUCCUAAUCCCAAAGAAAUUUUCUUUCUACAGGAGUGGAGAGAAGUUGCCUCUUUAAUGAUCAUUGAUUUCAGUGUGUUGCACCUUAGAAAAUAAAAGUGACAUAAUUCUCUAGUGGGAGCUGUUUGCACGUCUUGUCCCAUCUUUGCCCUUACCAAUCACAAAGCAUCUCGCUCCCACAAGUCCAUAAGAACUCGGGAACAGAAGGCAAGGACCACUCAAGCCACCCCAAUAAAAUGUCCAAACCCACACUCUGCCUUCUAGCUCUCCUUUUCCUUCAUACCCAUUUCACAAUUUGCAAUGGGAUUUCAGUUUCAGGCCUCACUUCACUGGAAAACACUGAGAUUGAUGUCAUGGUGAGGAGGGGUUGCACCAUGAAGAUUGGAGACUGCUCUGAAGAGCCAGAGAUGGAGUCAGAGAUCAGCAGGAGAGUUCUUGUGAUGCAAAAGAAGUAUAUAAGCUAUGAGACACUGAAGAGGGACAUGGUUCCAUGUACAAAACCAGGUGCAUCUUACUAUGAUUGUCAUGCUGCAGAGGCCAAUCCUUACAGCAGAGGUUGUGAGGUCAUUACAAGGUGUAGAGGGCAUUAACAAUUUGAGAACAAACUAGUUAAAUUUGACAUCAACUUUGUGGACUUACUUGGUAAUGUGCCAUUACUUUUCUAGAUUUGGUGUCUUAAUUGGGGAUUUAUUGUGUGGAAUUCGUAUAUUUAAGACUCUUAUUUUGAUUUCCUAUAUGCACCGGUAUAAGCUCAAUUUUUGGGAAGAUCUGCGUUGUCCUUUGCAGAUUAUUUAAAUAAAUGGUUGAUACUUCUUAGAGGAAUUUAGUUUUAUUCAUGCCUUUAAAUUUUUUCAGCAUUCUUUUGUGAAAGAUUUAAGGUUUCUGAUCUUUCUUUACUUGUUUGCGGUAGACACAGUUGAUGGUGAUUUCUUGUAGUGGAUUCUAAUUAUAUCAAUAAAACAAAUUUUCCAACAGAACCCUUCGCUUUUUCUGGGCAGACCAUCAAAGCAAAAGCAAUUUUUCAUAUUUUGUUGACAAAUUCUCCUCCUUACCAUAGAGACUCUGAGAAAUUAAGGAAUGAAUGGCUGAGGUUUGCCACUGUCUUUCAUUUCCACUUCAAAAGAUUCAAAACGAAGAAAAUGUAUUUACAUUGGAGAGCAAAAGAUUGCAUAAAUGAACCAAAGGGGAGAUUCACACUAACUUUCAAGGAUAGUUCUAACCUACAAAGAGACGAUCUCGCCCAAUUUCAUUUUCUGAUUUUCCAUCGAGAAUAUGCAAUAAUUAAUAUGCCUUGUACUAACAUCCUUGAUAAUCUAGGAACAGGUACUAAGAUUUUCGGGAGUGUUAAAAGUGCCUUACCACCGAGUCAUUGUUUAACAUCUAGUGUAGAAUGCUUUUUCUUAUCAGUUUUCAUUGAAUCAAGCCAUUAGGGCUUAUGCAGUGUUGCUGCUUAUUAAUGAUCCUCUCUUAUUCUGGCCCCCUUUUCCAGUUUUGUUAUAGCAUCUAUAUCGGCCUCCGGUUUAGGCGGAUAGCCUGGCAAAUAGACAUCUACAGAAAUUAGCCUGGCAAAUAGACAUCUACAGAAAUUAGCUUGUCGACUCAAUUUCAUAAAUCAUUGAUGUUCUUGCACUGGUUCUUCUCAGCAGUUUAUGAUCACACCUGAUCUUUUAAAGAUGAGUUGUAUGU
rnacentral:misc_RNA from 1 species